UACAGAGGUCUCAAGCGUUGUUCGGAUUCAUUGGGCGUAAAAGGGUGCGUAGGCGGCGCGGUAAGUCGGGUGUGAAAUUUCGAGGCUUAACUUCGAAACUGCAUUCGAUACUGCCGUGCUUGAGGACUGGAGAGGAGACUGGAAUUUACGGUGUAGCGGUGAAAUGCGUAGAUACCGUAAGGAAGACCAGUGGCGAAGGCGGGUCUCUGGACAGUUCCUGACGCUGAGGCACGGAAGGCCAGGGAGCAAACGGGAUUAGAAGUCACCCUUGUAGUCCC
rnacentral:rRNA from 1 species